CACGUAGGGGGCAAGCGUUGUCCGGAUUUAUUGGGCGUAAAGAGCUCGUAGGUGGUUCGGUAAGUCGGGUGUGAAACCUCCAGGCUCAACCUGGAGACGCCACCUGAUACUGCUGUGACUGGAGUCCGGUAGGGGAGCGUGGAGUUCCUGGUGUAGCGGUGAAAUGCGCAGAUAUCAGGAGGAACACCAGCGGCGAAGGCGGCGCUCUGGGCCGGUACUGACGCUGAGGAGCGAAAGCGUGGGGAGCGAACAGG
rnacentral:rRNA from 1 species